rnacentral:rRNA from 1 species
UACGAAGGGCUAGCGUUGUUCGGAAUUACUGGGCGUAAAGGGCGCGUAGGCGGCCCGCUAAGUCGAACGUGAAAUCCCCGAGCUCAACUCGGGAACUGCGUCCGAUACUGGCGGGCUUGAAUCCGGGAGAGGGAUGCGGAAUUCCAGGUGUAGCGGUGAAAUGCGCAGAUAUCAGGAGGAACACCGAUGGCGAAGGCAGGUCUCUGGGCCAUUACUGACACUGAGAAGCGAAAAGCAUGGGGGAGCGAAACAGG